CUGAAGCAACAACAUCAACAGCAGCCAAAGCAUUAGCAUCACUACUCAAUCUUCUAUAAGAUAUAAAAAGAAAUUAUGGAUUUACAAAAACUCAACGCUAUUGGUCACAUGGAAAGUUUUCUGCCAACAAAAUGCUGCUGAGUUGACUCCAAAUGCUUUAUAUACUGUAACUAAAAUAAAGAGGGUACAAACUAAAUUCGGAGGUAGGAUUGUAGCAGAACUAGAUGCAAAAUUUACAACUUUCCUCCCAGCAAGGUUCGCGAAGCUGUUCGAAGCUGAACCUGCAUCAUUUAUAUCGAUUGAAGAAGCUGCGCAAUCUCAAGAAUUACAAUUAAAAUAUAUCGGCGGAAAGUUUGAUGUAAUCGUAUUUGAAUAUAAGUAAUAUAAAAAUUAUUAUACUAUAAAAAGAAAAAAUAAUUGUAAUAUAAAAUUGUAAAUAUUCAAAAUGUGAGAAAAAUAAAAGUAUAAAUUUACAUAAAAA